rnacentral:sRNA from 1 species
AUGCCACGUUCGGAAAGGAAAGAAAAUAGGCACUCCACACUGGCAACACAGGGGAUUAGGAGGCGGUGUUAUCUUUGAACGACCACGAGUUAAACUCCAUUCUUGGAAGUGCUGUCUGUUUGCCAUGUCGCGUUGGUCUUCAAGAACCUUGAUUUUGUCGAUAUUGCCGUUAUGUGGCUGGUAUUAUUUCUGCCCUGUGUGAAGUUCAAUGAACAUUCCUGGUAUGAAGACCACCAGUUAGGCAUGAAAUUGUGAACUUAAAGUCCUAUGAAUAGGGGAUUUGUCCUUUUAGUCUAGUGGUAAAAGUCCAAUUCUAUACUACCACAUUUGGACAGGUAUCGGCACUCCAGAAAGCAAAGAUCUAAACAUACCAAGGAACAACACAGUUAUUAGCUCUACCUCGUGGUUUGAUAUGAAUGCUGGAUCCUUUGCACAAGUUAGUGAUUAGCCGUGUACUAUCCUCAAAGAUAAAGAAAGUACAUAGUCUCAAUAGGAUUGAAAUCCUGAAUGUAAGCCUAUGCCGCAG